GAUCCUGGCUCAGGAUGAACGCUGGCGGCGUGCUUAACACAUGCAAGUCGAACGGAACUACUUUAAUGAGAUUCUUCGGAAAGGAUUUGAUUUAGUUUAGUGGCGGACGGGUGAGUAACGCGUGGGUAACCUGCCUCAUACAGGGGGAUAACAGUUGGAAACGGCUGUUAAUACCGCAUAAGCGCACAGGACCGCAUGGUCCGGUGUGAAAAACUCCGGUGGUAUAAGAUGGACCCGCGUUGGAUUAGCUAGUUGG
rnacentral:rRNA from 1 species